rnacentral:lncRNA from 1 species
GCGGGAGUAAUGGUUCAAGUUGGAGGGUGGCAGCAUAAGAAAAAUAGAGAAAUAAAAGAAAAAUAAAAUUGAGAGAAGGCUAAGGAUAGGGGCAACACAAGAUAUGGAUGGGAGAAAUUUUUUUAGGUUUAUGGGCAAGAGAGGCAAUGUGAAAGCAAAAGGAGAAAGAGAUGUUAUAUAUUAGGGUUUUUAAAUCCUAG